CCUACGUCCCGCCGCCGUCGCCACCAUGCCCAAGAGAAAGGCUGAAGGGGAUGCUAAAGGAGAUAAAACCAAGGUGAAGGAUGAACCACAGAGAAGACCUGCAAGGUUAUCUGCUAAACCUGCUCCUCCAAAGCCAGAGCCCAAGCCUAAAAAGACCCCUGCAAAGAAGGGAGAGAAGGUACCCAAAAGGAAAAGGGGGAAAGCUGAUGCUGGCAAGGAUGGGAAUAACCCUGCAGAAAACAGAGAUGCCGAAACAGACCAGGCACAGAAAGCUGAGGGUGCUGGAGAGGCCAAGUGAAGUGUGCAUUUUUGACAACUGUGUACUUCUGGUGACUGUACAGUUUGAAAUACUAUUUUUUUAUCAAGUCUUAUAAAAAUGCAGAAUUUUGUUUUACUUUUUUUUCUUUUCAGCUAUAUUGUUAGCAUACAGAACACUUCAUUGUUGUUUUUUGGGGGAAGAGCACAUGUCACUAAUAGAUUGUCUCUGAAGCUGGAUUGACAUGGGA